rnacentral:pre_miRNA from 1 species
AAUAAGUGCAGUUUUACACUAUUCACGUUCAACAUUUGACCGUUCGUCUUAUUUGAAAAUUUUUUAUGAUUAGUAUUUUUAUUACUAUUAGAUGAUAAAACAUGAAUAGUACUUUAUGCGUGACUAAAUAUUUUUAAAUUUUUCACAAAUGUUUUAAAUAAGACGGAUGGUCAAACAUUGGGCACGGAUAUCUACGGCUACACUUAUU